ACGCCAGGGGAUGGAGCGCACCUGCGGAAGCAGAUCCCGAAGGGCGCGGGUGGGCCUGUCGGAGUAUUGGGAUUUGAGCUUCGGCUGUUUGAACCCAGGAUCUCGAAAUGCAUCGUGAUUCCUGUCCAUUAGAUUGUAAGGUGUAUGUAGGUAAUCUUGGAAACAAUGGGAACAAGACUGAAUUAGAACGGGCUUUUGGCUAUUAUGGACCACUCCGAAGUGGGUGGGUUGCUCGAAACCCUCCUGGCUUUGCGUUCGUUGAAUUUGAGGAUCCCCGAGAUGCCGCUGAUGCUGUCCAAGAGCUCGAUGGAAGAACACUAUGUGGCUGCCGUGUAAGAGUGGAACUUUUGAAUGGUGAAAAAGAAGUCGGAAUCGUGGCCCACCUCCCUCCUGGGGUCGUCGCCCUCGAGAUGAUUACCGCAGGAGGAGUCCUCCACCUCGGCGAAGAUCUCCAAGAAGGAGAAGCUUCUCUCGAAGCCGGAGCAGGUCACUUUCUAGAGAUAGGAGAAGAGAAAGGUCUCUGUCUUGGGAGAGAAAUCACAAGCCGUCUCGAUCCUUCUCUAGGUCUCGUAGCCGAUCUAGGUCAAAUGAAAGGAAGUAGAAGACCAGUUUGCAAAAGAAGUGAUGUACAGGAAAGAACUUCAUUUGACAGGAGUAUGUACAGGAAAUUCAAGUUUGUUUGAGACUUCAUAAGCUUGGUGCAUUUUUAAGAUGUUUUAGCUGUUCAAAUUUGUUUUGUCUCUUGGAACGGUGACACACAACGAAGUAAUUCUCUGUGGUUCCAAAUGGAUCCUAGGAGGCAUGUAAUAUCAAGAAGUGUUACUUUACAAUGUUCCCUUAAGCAAGAUUGAAUUUGCUUUGAACUUUAGUUUUUCAUAGACUGAAAUAAACCUAGAUCCUGCCCAGUUAAAGUGUGAUGUGCUAAUGAUAUAGAAAGAGCUGGCAGAAAUGGAAAAAGCUGUAGUUUCUCUAGUAGCUGGGAUACGAGUGGAGCUGUGGGGGAAUGAUAAGCAGUCUUUAAAAGCUGCUGUGAACACAAGCCAACAGGUAAAGGGUGGGAACUGCACUCCAAAGGCUUGCAGAGAGGUUCCUCACUGAUCGCUAUAGAUGGACAAAAAGCUGUUUGUAACGUUUUAUUUGAAAUGGAAGGCUUUAAGUUAGCAGUGUCCUAUCAGUUUAAGGGUACAUUGUAAAGCUGAACUUUAGUUACUGUGCAAGAUAUCUUUUUCAUGCUGUCAUUUGUAAUAUGUUUGUGAGAAUCCUUGGGAUUAAAAUUUUGGUUACAAAAAAAAAAA